rnacentral:pre_miRNA from 1 species
UGCUUUGGUAAGACAGCUGUAUGGGUGUUUUCCUUGCCAUAAAGCUAGAUUACCAAAGCA